rnacentral:rRNA from 1 species
CCUACGGGAGGCAGCAGUGAGGAAUAUUGGUCAAUGGACGCAAGUCUGAACCAGCCAAGCCGCGUGCAGGAAGACUGCCCUAUGAGUUGUAAACUGCUUUUGUACAAGGAUAAACGCAGGCACGCGUGUCUGUCUGAAUGUAUCUUACGAAUAAGGAUCGGCUAACUCCGUGCCAGCAGCCGCGGUAAUACGGAGGAUUCAAGCGUUAUCCGGAUUUAUUGGGUUUAAAGGGUGCGUAGGCGGGCGGUUAAGUUAGAGGUGAAAUCUCGAGGCUCAACUUCGGAAUUGCCUUUGAUACUGUUCGGCUAGAGAGUAGUUGAGGUAGGCGGAAUGUGUGGUGUAGCGGUGAAAUGCUUAGAGAUCAUAAAGAACACCGAUUGCGAAGGCAGCUUACCAAACUACGACUGACGUUGAGGCACGAAAGUGUGGGGAGCAAACAGGAUUAGAUACCCGAGUAGUC